rnacentral:rRNA from 1 species
CCUACGGGCGGCAGCAGUGGGGAAUAUUGCACAAUGGGGGAAACCCUGAUGCAGCGACGCCGCGUGAGCGAAGAAGUAUCUCGGUAUGUAAAGCUCUAUCAGCAGGGAAGAAAAUGACGGUACCUGACUAAUAAGCCCCGGCUAACUACGUGCCAGCAGCCGCGGUAAUACGUAGGGGGCAAGCGUUAUCCGGAUUUACUGGGUGUAAAGGGAGCGUAGGCGGCGGGGUAAGUCUGAUGUGAAAGCCCGGGGCUCAACCCCGGGACUGCAUUGGAAACUGUGGUGCUGGAGUGUCGGAGGGGUAAGUGGAAUUCCUAGUGUAGCGGUGAAAUGCGUAGAUAUUAGGAGGAACACCAGUGGCGAAGGCGGCUUACUGGACGGCAACUGACGCUGAGGCUCGAAAGCGUGGGGAGCAAACAGGAUUAGAUACCCGGGUAGUC